rnacentral:rRNA from 1 species
CCUACGGGGGGCAGCAGUAGGGAAUCUUCGGCAAUGGACGAAAGUCUGACCGAGCAACGCCGCGUGAGUGAAGAAGGUUUUCGGAUCGUAAAACUCUGUUGUUAGAGAAGAACAAGUGCUAGAGUAACUGUUAGCGCCUUGACGGUAUCUAACCAGAAAGCCACGGCUAACUACGUGCCAGCAGCCGCGGUAAUACGUAGGUGGCAAGCGUUGUCCGGAUUUAUUGGGCGUAAAGCGAGCGCAGGCGGUUCCUUAAGUCUGAUGUGAAAGCCCCCGGCUCAACCGGGGAGGGUCAUUGGAAACUGGGGAACUUGAGUGCAGAAGAGGAGAGUGGAAUUCCAUGUGUAGCGGUGAAAUGCGUAGAUAUAUGGAGGAACACCAGUGGCGAAGGCGACUCUCUGGUCUGUAACUGACGCUGAGGCUCGAAAGCGUGGGGAGCAAACAGGAUUAGAUACCCUGGUAGUC